UACGAAGGGGGCUAACGUUGUUCGGAAUCACUGGGCGUAAAGCGCACGUAGGCGGAUCUUUAAGUCAGAGGUGAAAUCCCAAGGCUCAACCUUGGAACUGCCUUUGAUACUGGGGAUCUUGAGUCCGGGAGAGGUGAGUGGAACUGCGAGUGUAGAGGUGAAAUUCGUAGAUAUUCGCAAGAACACCAGUGGCGAAGGCGGCUCACUGGCCCGGUACUGACGCUGAGGUGCGAAAGCGUGGGGAGCAAACAGG
rnacentral:rRNA from 1 species